UACGUAGGUGGCAAGCGUUGUCCGGAUUUACUGGGCGUAAAGAGCGCGCAGGCGGUCGUUCAAGUCGCGUGUGAAAGCCCCCGGCUCAACUGGGGAGGGUCACGCGAUACUGAUCGACUGGAAGGCAGGAGAGGGUAGUGGAAUUCCCGGUGUAGUGGUGAAAUGCGUAGAUAUCGGGAGGAACACCGGUGGCGAAGGCGGUUCUCUGGGACGGUACUGACGCUAAGACGCGAAAGCGUGGGGAGCGAACAGG
rnacentral:rRNA from 1 species